rnacentral:tRNA from 1 species
GAUUUGCUAGCUCAGUAGGUAGAGCACAUCCCUUUUAAGGAUGGGGUCCUGGGUUCGAACCCCAGGCAAAUCACCA